CGAAAUCCAAUUACUAUACCUACAGUAGCGUGUUGAAAACGUUAUUAUAAAAGUUUUAACGGCGAUGCGCUCAGCACUAUAGCGGAUCGUAUCUUGGAAUAAGUUGGGGGAUAAGGUGCGCGGUUGUAUGCUGCACUCGUAUUUCGCACGUUCCUGCCUACGCCAGUAAAUUAAACAAAAAUAUUGGUGAUUAAUCAAUUUAAAUUGGUAAAAAUACUGUGUAUACACUAUACUAUAUACACGUUUUCGUAUAUUAAUUUUCUACAUUCUGCCCGUCAAUGUGUUCUUAGUUUUGGAAAUUGUUUGCUCUAAUGCACAUAAUAUACAGCCCACCAUCACAUAUUAUCGAUGUUCAUUUCAGUUUGCUUGAGUGAAAACACUAACAUUAAGCCAGCAACCGCCGGUGUACGAUUGCGCGCGUUUCACACUUUCGGGUAUUUAACUGCGCGCGGUGCCGGGACAACAGAGAAUAUGAUUUUGACCCUUCAAAAGCACACGAUUGAGCGCGAUAUUUAAAGCGACGUUGUCAAAUGUCAUAAUCGUUUU